UUUUGGGGUGUCUGUGGGGUGUUUAUGUGGCUGUGAGGUGUUUUUGGGGUGUCUGUGGGGUGUUUUUGGGGUGUCUUGGGGUGUGACCCAUCCCUCCUCCCCGGCAGCGCUGGCCGGAGGGGCAGAGGGCCAAGGCUGGAGCGGUGCCCGUGCAGAGCUCCAGGCUCAGCAUCAAUAAUUAAUCAUUUCCUGAGGGGUAUUAAUCAAGGCCUCGUGCAUCAUUCAUGGCCAGCGGUGCAGGGGGAGCUCGGCCCCGCUGCCCUGCGGGAUCUGACAUCUCCCAGCCCCUUCCCAAAGGAAACCCGAGCUCCUCUCUCAGCACAGAACCUGCGCUGUCUCCCCAGAAAAGGUUUUCCCGGGAGUUUGGGGUCACCCGCACCCCUCGGAGUGCUCCUGGCUCGGGAUUCAGCUCCCACACACUGGGGGGGCUCCCACGAGGGUCAGGAGCACCCUUGGGUGCUCUCCAGGUGUGAGAUUUUAGGGACACAUCUGAGGGGAAAUUUGGGAUUUCCCCCUCAACCAGGUUUCCUUCUGGCCCCUUCCCACAUCCCAUCCCUGCUGCCAACCCCCAUCCCCAUCCCAGCCCAGCUCCACACCCCACACAAGCUCCCAUUCUGCUGGGAUUACUGGGACUGGGUUGUGCUGGGAUUACUGGGACUGGGUUCUGGGAUUACUGGGACUGGGUUCUGGGGUUCCUGGGACACUGGGGUUCCUGGGACACCGGGUUCUGGGGUUCCUGGGACACUGGGAUUCCUGGGACACUGGGUUCUGGGGUUCCUGGGACACUGGGUUGUGCUGGGGUUCCUGGGACACUGGGUUCUGGGAUUCCCGGUGUUCAGCCCCGGAAUGCUCCAGUCCAUGUGUUGACAAAGGCUGAGGGACACGAUGGAAUAGGACAGGGUUGCCCCUCUCUCGUUCAUUUCAUGGUUGGGGGCAGAGCCCCCCUGCCCAGGGCUGCUGGAGGGGACAAAGCCCAUCAGGAAAGGAAAGAGCGGAUUGCAGCUGUGCCCUUUCCCUGCCUCAGUUUCCCCCCUCGGCAAGGAGAGGAGCAUCAGCCCUGAAUCACUGAGCUCUGGUGACACCGGCGCUGCUGCCUCCAUUGCCACCGGCGCCUUCUCCCGGUGAGCGGAGACCAAAG
rnacentral:lncRNA from 1 species